GAUAACAGAGUUAUCCUCAGAGGCCACAAGAUUUUCUUGGAGAGCUGGAGACCCACCCUGCUCAUGAUGGUGGGGGGAUUUUUUUUUUUUUUUUUUUCCCCACAGCAUAACAUUGGCCAAGCGCAAAAUCUUUUUUUGUUUUUCCCUAGACUCUAAGGAUACUGGUGAAUAUUAGCAUACUGGGCUCCAAGCUCUUAUUGCUUAUUUUCUGGAAUUGAACAUCAAUUGAUCUUCUGGAAGUGAGCCAUGCACUGGGGUGCAAUCUAGGGCAGUGAAAAACUCACCAAACGGUCUAGAAGGAGCCCCGUCUUGUCCCUGGGAGCCUUUCCUGCAAGGAGUGCUGGCUGAUAGAACUCCGAGAGAACUCCAGGCGAGGACUGUGGUGAUGGUGGAGUGGCUCAGGUGGCUUGAGGGGCAGCAGAGACAUGGAAACCCCUGCCAGACCCUUUUUAACCUGCAGGGUUCAUCUGCAGUGCCUCUGGAGAUUUGGCACACCGCAUCUCGUGUGGUCUCCACAUAGACCAGCCACCCCAUAAACAGGGAAGGCGGAUAUCAUUUGCCGAACGUUGAGUUCCCAGCCAGGGCCUUCCACUUCUUUGCUAUGAGGCUGGCUGGUCAGAAGCCAAGUCUGGUUCUUUCUCUCUGAAGUUAGCAAAAUAGAAUAUGGUGAGAAUAGAUUAAAAUGUUCUAAAAUUAAAUGCCCCGUCUCUAAAAA
rnacentral:lncRNA from 1 species